UCACAACAUCCAGGAGUAUCUGGUGUAGUUGUUGUUGGACUUCCAGACACUCGAUUUACGGAGAUGGUUGUUACUUGUAUUCAAAUAAGAGACAAUUGGAAAUGGAUUGAUUUGGGAUCUCAUAUCUCAGCAAAGAACAUUGAAUUUUGCUUAUCCAGUGAGAUCCUCCAGCACUUCUGUAAAAAGAAGAACUUAACUGGGUUUAAAAUACCCAAAACUUUUGUUAUAUGGAAGAAGUCAUUUCCAUUGAAAGCAACUGGAAAAUUAAUAAGAGAUCAAGUUAAAAGAGAAGUUAUAUCUCAUGUUCAAUAUCUGCCUAGCAAUCUAUAACUACAAUUUAUUUAUUUAUUCGAUUAAUUAAUUAAUUUCAUCUAAGAA